GACGAACGCUGGCGGCGUGCUUAACACAUGCAAGUCGAGCGGUAAGGCCCUUUUGGGGGACACGAGCGGCGAACGGGUGAGUAACACGUGGGUGACCUGCCCUCAGCUCUGGGAUAAGCCUGGGAAACUGGGUCUAAUACUGGAUAUGACCUUUCCUCGCAUGGGGUUGGGUGGAAAGUUUUUCGCUGGGGAUGGGCCCGCGGCCUAUCAGCUUGUUGGUGGGGUGAUGG
rnacentral:rRNA from 1 species